GGCCCGAGCACCUCCUGAGGGAGUCUGCAAGCCCACUCCACUCUGGGGCUGGGGGAGAGGGACUCCAGGCCCCCUGAGCUCAUCUAGCUUCUGGGGGCAGGGGGUGCUGCUCCUCCUGGAAGCAUUAGGAAGCUUCACAAGGUGCCUUUCUUUUUGCCUUUGCCAUGUGCCUCAGUCCGGGUCCAAUCAGGAGAGAGAAACCACACAGGAAUGGGAAUAGGGAAAGUUCAAUAUACAGAAUGAUUAACUCUCAUGGGAUUGGCCACUAAGGGGUGCCUUCUUGGGGAACAUGGUUGGAGGGUGGACAUGCUGGUGGAACACGAUCAUUCCAAUCCAACACUUCUGUCUCCCCAAGCCUUGGGACUCCCCUCACCCAUCUUAUGCUAGGGCAGUUCUGGUCUCUCUGCCUCAUUAACUUUAGGCCACUGUUGGAUCCAAGUUCCGGUUAGGCACCCAAGCAAGCUAUUAGAACUACGUCCAGCUGCACAAGGCACUUGUGGGAUUAUGAUGCCAUUGCAUGCCAUGGGCCUCUGGCAUCCUGUUUCCCAUCAGCAAGAGCUCAGCGCGGCGCCCAAGCCCAAAGGCACAACCAAACCAAUCCUGGAAUCCUAUCUUAAGAGUCAUCUCCUGGGACACUCCAGGUAUCAACUCUAUAUCCAUCAGGAUGCAGUCAGGAGAGAAAAACC
rnacentral:lncRNA from 10 species